rnacentral:rRNA from 1 species
CCAGCAGCUGCGGUAAUUCCAGCUCCAAUGGCAUAUGUUAGAGUUGUUGCAGUUAAAAGGCUCGUAGUCGGAUUUCUGCAGAGGAUGGCCGGUCCGCCCAUGGGGUGAGCAUCUGGUGCACCCUAAGCAUAUUUCCUAAAUGUGCAACUGCACUUGGCUGUGUGGUGCAGAUUUGGGGGCUUUUACUUUGAGGAAAUGAGAGUGUUCAAAGCAAGUAUUUGCUGUGUAUACAGAAGCAUGGAAUAAUUGUUGUGUCUGGACUUCAAUUUGUUGGUUUCUGGAGCUGGAAAGGUGAAACAGGGAUGGCUGGGGACGUUGGUAUUUGACUGUCAGAGGUGAAAUUCUUGAAUUUGUCAAGGAUGGACCACUGCAAAAGCAUUUGUCAAGGAUGUUUUCAUUGAUCAAGAACGAAAGU